GAUGAACGCUGGCGGCGUGCCUAAUACAUGCAAGUAGAACGCUGAAGGAAGGAGCUUGCUCUUUCCGGAUGAGUUGCGAACGGGUGAGUAACGCGUAGGUAACCUGUCUGGUAGCGGGGGAUAACUAUUGGAAACGAUAGCUAAUACCGCAUAACAGUAGAUGUUGCAUGAUAUCUACUUAAAAGGUGCAAUUGCACCACUACCAGAUGGACCUGCGUUGUAUUAGCUAGUUGGUGAGGUAACGGCUCACCAAGGCGACGAUACAUAGCCGACCUGAGAGGGUGAUCGGCCACACUGGGACUGAGACACGGCCCAGACUCCUACGGGAGGCAGCAGUAGGGAAUCUUCGGCAAUGGACGGAAGUCUGACCGAGCAACGCCGCGUGAGUGAAGAAGGUUUUCGGAUCGUAAAGCUCUGUUGUAAGAGAAGAACGAGUGUGAGAGUGGAAAGUUCACACUGUGACGGUAUCUUACCAGAAAGGGACGGCUAACUACGUG
rnacentral:rRNA from 1 species